rnacentral:tRNA from 1 species
GUCGGCGUGGCGGAACGGUAGACGUGCAGAGCUUAAAAAUCCGGGCGAUCGUCGCGGUCUUGCGGGUUCAGAUCCCGUCGCCGGCA